rnacentral:rRNA from 1 species
GACGUAGGGCGCAAGCGUUGUCCGGAUUUAUUGGGCGUAAAGAGCUCGUAGGCGGCUUGUCGCGUCGACUGUGAAAACCCGUGGCUCAACCAUGUGGUCUGCAGUCGAUACGGGCAGGCUAGAAUUCGGUAGGGGAGACUGGAAUUCCUGGUGUAGCGGUGAAAUGCGCAGAUAUCAGGAGGAACACCGGUGGCGAAGGCGGUUCUCUGGGACGGUACUGACGCUGAGACGCGAAAGCGUGGGGAGCGAACAGG